rnacentral:misc_RNA from 1 species
CUCCGGCUUAUCACCGGCGGUUUCCUUAGAGUGCCCAACUAAAUGAUGGCAACUAAGGACGAGGGUUGCGCUCGUUGCGGGACUUAACCCAACAUCUCACGACACGAGCUGGCGACAGCCAUGCAGCACCUGUAUACCGACCUUGCGGGGAGAACAUUUCUGAACUUUUCCGGUAUAUGUCAAGCCUUGGUAAGGUUCUUCGCGUUGCAUCGAAUUAAUCCGCAUGCUCCGCCGCUUGUGCGGGCCCCCGUCAAUUCCUUUGAGUUUUAGCCUUGCGGCCGUACUCCCCAGGCGGAACACUUAACGCGUUGGCUGCGGCACAGAGGGAUUCGACUCCCCCCACACCUAGUGUUCAUCGUUUACGGCGUGGACUACC